rnacentral:rRNA from 1 species
UACAGAGGGGCAAGCGUUGUUCGGAAUUACUGGGCGUAAAGGGCGCGUAGGCGGCCCGCUAAGUCGAACGUGAAAUCCCCGGGCUCAACCCGGGAACUGCGUCCGAUACUGGUGGGCUUGAAUCCGGGAGAGGGAUGCGGAAUUCCAGGUGUAGCGGUGAAAUGCGUAGAUAUCUGGAGGAACACCGGUGGCGAAGGCGGCAUCCUGGACCGGCAUUGACGCUGAGGCGCGAAAAGCCAGGGGGAGCAAACGGGG